AGUGAACGCUGGCGGUAUGCCUAACACAUGCAAGUCGAACGGCAGCACAGUAAGAUCUUGCUCUUACGGGUGGCGAGUGGCGGACGGGUGAGGAAUACAUCGGAAUCUACUUUUUCGGGGGGGAUAACGUAGGGAAACUUACUCUAAUACCGCAUACGACCUACGGGUGAAAGCAGGGGAUAUUCGGACCGUGCGCGAUUGGAUGAGCCGAUGUCGGAUUAGCUAGUUGGCGGGGUAAAGGCCCACCCAGGCGACGAUCCGUAGCUGGUCUGAGAGGAUGAUAACCCGCAUUGGAACUGGGACACGGUCCAGACUACUACGGGAGGCAGCAGUGGGGAAUAUUGGACAAUGGGGGCAAGCAUGACCCAGCCAUCCCGCGUGGGUGAAGAAGGCGUUCGGGUUGUAAAGCCCUUUUGUUGGGAAAGAAAAGCAGCAGGUUAAUACCCCGCUGUUCUGACGGUACCCAAAGAAUAAGCACCGGCUAACUUCGUG
rnacentral:rRNA from 1 species